rnacentral:tRNA from 1 species
GCCCUUGUAGCUCAGCCCGGUCAGAGCUGCCGCCUCUUAAGCGGUAGGUCGCAGGUUUAAAUCCAACAACUGAGCACCC